UACAGAGGGUGCAAGCGUUAAUCGGAAUUACUGGGCGUAAAGCGUGCGUAGUCGGUUAUUUAAGUCGGAUGUGAAAUCCCCAGGCUCAACCUGGGAACUGCAUCCGAUACUGGAUGGCUUGAAUUCGGGAGAGGGAUGCAGAAUUCCAGGUGUAGCGGUGAAAUGCGUAGAUAUCUGGAGGAAUACCGGUGGCGAAGGCGGCAUCCUGGACCGGCAUUGACGCUGAGGAGCGAAAGCCAGGGGAGCAAACGGG
rnacentral:rRNA from 1 species